CGUGUAGGCGGUUUGUUAAGUCAUGUGUGAAAUCCCCCGGCUUAACCGAGGAACGACGCAUGAAACUGGCAAGCUAGAGUACCGAAGAGGGGGGUGGAAUUUCCGGUGUAGCGGUGAAAUGCGUAGAUAUCGGGAGGAACACCUGUGGCGAAGGCGGCCCCCUGGUCGGAUACUGACGCUGAGACGCGAAAGCGUGGGGAGCAAACA
rnacentral:rRNA from 1 species